rfam:Trichuris suis scaffold17.1, whole genome shotgun sequence.
UACCUGGUUGAUCCUGCCAGUAGUCAUAUGCUUGUCUCAAAGACUAAGCCAUGCAAGUGCAAGCGCACACCGCUGAACGGUGAAGCCGCGAAUGGCUCAUUACAGCAGUCAUUGUUCGCAAGAACUGAUGUCCACUUGGAUAACUGUGGAAAUUCUAGAGCUAAUACAUGCCUCGAAGCUCGGUCGCGCGCAACGCGUCGGAGCGCAUUUAUUAGAACAAAACCAAUCGGACGCAGGCUAUCUAUUGGUCUGGGUCCUCGAAAGGUUGGUGAAUCGGAAUAACUAUGUUGAUCGCACGGUCUAGCACCGGCGACGAAUCUUUGAAAUGACUUGCUCAUCAACUUUCGAUGGUACGCUACGUGCUUACCAUGGUGACAACGGUUAACGGAGAAUCAGGGUUCGACUCCGGAGAGGGAGCCUGAGAAACGGCUACCACAUCCAAGGAAGGCAGCAGGCACGCAAAUUACCCACUCCCAGAUCGGGGAGGUAGUGACGAAAAAUAACGGAACGUAUCUCCAUGAGACACGUUACCGGAACGACUGAGCCGUACACAAGCUCGGCUGAAGCUAUUGGAGGGCAAGUCUGGUGCCAGCAGCCGCGGUAAUUCCAGCUCCAAUACCGUAUAUUGAAGUUGCUGCGGGUAAACCGCUCGUAGUUUCAGACGGAGCAGGUACCGGUCGUUGUUGGCAGGCGAGCAAGCACGGACGUCCCGCGACGAUGCCGACUGACUCAGCCACGCAGUCGUCCGUCUGCAGCCGGUCGUACUGGUGGUGAUCACCGAGUCAAGCGGCGCAGGACGACCGUAGCCAGCGCGGCCUGCGCUUGGGAUCUGGAAGUGGUGGUGGUGCAACGGUGGACGCUGCUCACGGCAGUGGCAACGCGCGCUCACGUCGCGCCCAAGUACGGGGACAUUCGUAUUGCUGCGUUAGAGGUGAAAUUCUUGGAUCGCAGCAAGACGACCAAUUUCGAAAGCAUUUGUCAAGAAUGUUUUCAUUAAUCAAGAACGAAAGUUAGAGGUUCGAAGGCGAUCAGAUACCGCCCUAGUUGUGACCGUAAACGAUGCCAACCAGCGAUUCGGCGACGUUCUUUUUAUGACUCGCUGAGCAGCUUCCGGGAAACCAAAGUGUUUCGGUUCCGGGGGAAGUAUGGUUGCAAAGCUGAAACUUAAAGGAAUUGACGGAAGGGCACCACCAGGAGUGGAGCAUGCGGCUUAAUUUGACUCAACACGCGAAAACUCACCCGUUCCGAACACUGUGAAAAUUGACAGAUCAAGAGCUCUUUCUUGACGAACGAAAGUUAGAGGUUCGAAGGCGAUCAGAUACCGCCCUAGUUGUGACCGUAAACGAUGCCAACCAGCGAUUCGGCGACGUUCUUUUUAUGACUCGCUGAGCAGCUUCCGGGAAACCAAAGUGUUUCGGUUCCGGGGGAAGUAUGGUUGCAAAGCUGAAACUUAAAGGAAUUGACGGAAGGGCACCACCAGGAGUGGAGCAUGCGGCUUAAUUUGACUCAACACGGGAAAACUCACCCGUUCCGAACACUGUGAGGAUUGACAGAUCAAGAGCUCUUUCUUGAUUCAGUGGGUAGUGGUGCAUGGCCGUUCUUAGUUGGUGGAGCGAUUUGUCUGGCUAAUUCCGAUAACGAACGAGACUCUGGCCUACUAACUAGCGGCGGUAUUCACGUCUCUCGCGCGACGCCGUGCCUACGUGUCGGCUGAGCACAGUCGCCGUUCGCGCGAGCGCUCCGCGGAGCACCUGCAGUGCCGGCGACCGCUUCUUAGAGGGACCAGCGACACUUUCGCAAGCCGCACGAGAAAGAGCAAUAACAGGUCUGUGAUGCCCUUAGAUGUACGGGGCUGCACGCGUGCUACUCUGACGGCGUCAGCGUGCGUUCAAGCCCGGCCUGGCAAGGCCGGGAAAUCGGCUGAAACGUUCUCGUGACUGGGACAGGGAAUUGCAAUUAUUUCCCUCGAACGAGGAAUUCCCAGUAAGCGCGAGUCAUCAGCUUGCGUUGACUACGUCCCUGCCCUUUGUACACACCGCCCGUCGCUGCUACCGAUUGGAUGAUUUAGUGAGGCCUUUGGACCGAUGCCGCCGGUGUUCGGCCCGGUGGUUGAACCACGGCGUCGGGAAGCUGGCCGAACCAAACCAUCCUAGAGGAAGGAAAGUCGUAACGAGGUUUCCGUAGGUGAACCUGCGGAAGGAUCAUUA